GAGGCCCAGCCUCGUGAUGAGGAAUAGCAAGGAGAGAAUUCAGCUCCAGUUUAAAAGCCUGCAAAAUCAGAGCCCCUCCCUGCUUUUAUAAGGUAAGGUGACUUAGCCCUGCUCAUAGAGCCACGGUGUGCGUUUUGCUCUUCCACACCAUAAAGCAUGUAGCCCCCUUAGGAAUAGCGUUCAUUGUUACUGGCUUGAAGACAUCCUGUAAGCAAUCUACUAGAAGUUGUGUUUCCUCACAAGAAAUUUUGACUUAUUAGAAUUUUAUGUAUCUCUAUAAAUUAUAUUUGAUUGAAUCAAAUAUUUUUUUAAAAACAUUACCACAUUAUAAGAGAAGCACGUUUCUUUUGGAUCUCUGUGAAAUGUUCUAGAACACGAUAAAAUGAAAUGAUUUGAUAUCUUGAAUCUCAUAUUUUUUGAGAUGAAGACAGGAAAAGACUGUGGUAUAUGAAACUUUGUUGACAAGAGAGGAUCCAGAGACUUUAAAAGCAAAACUCUGCUGGGCAUGGUGACUCCUGUCUGUAAUUCCAGCACUUGGCAGCCCAAGGUAAGAGGGUUUCUUUGAGUUCAAUCACAGUCUGGGCUACAUAGUGAGUUCUAGGCCAGACUAGGUAACAGAGUGAGACUUUAUCUAAAAAACCUCCAAAAACCAAAUUUAAAACAAAAUCCAAGUCUGUUUAAGUGCAGAUUAACUUAAAAUUCCCUAGCAAGAAAGUAUUGUUUAUGGGCUGUGGAUAUAGCUUAGUGGUAAUCAAUUGCUUAGCAUGAACAAGGCCUUGACUAUAAUUCCUACUACAAAAACAAAACAAAACAAAUCCCAAACAAGCAAACCCUAAAACACUCAGGUCUUCUUUAAAAUUAGGACGCCAAACUACACUCUUCUUUUAAUUUGCAUUGAUGGUGUUGAUAGGAUGUAACUUCUCUAUGUAAGUGGUGUUGUAAUUGAUUUUUAUUAAAGUUUUAUCUUAUUGGUUGAAAUUUCCAGCAUACCUGGGGAAGAGGAGGUCAUAUUGUGGUUUUGAAAGAUCAAGCCCUUUACUGCCCACAUCCCCACAAGUGUGAAUGAAAGGGACUAGCAGUCAGGAACAGGAAUAUAGGCCCUCCUAGUCUCCUAGCAAUGUUAGAUAUUGACCUAAUGUGCAAAACAUUAUGUAGAUUUUUUUAAAACUAAAUUUAGUAAGGGUUACUGGACUUAAUCCUAUUCCAGGAGUGUUAUCGUUAAGAAGAUCUCUAAAUAUGAGUUUGAAUACUUUACAAAACAGUAUUACUAAAUUAUAUGUGUUACUUUCCCUGUACUCUCUAAAUAGAGUCCUCAGUUAAUAGGCAUGGUGGCACACACUUGUCAUUCUUUCACUUGGAAGGCAGAUGGAGGAGGAUCAGAGUUCAGAAAGUGAAGCAAAUUAAUG
rnacentral:lncRNA from 1 species